CACGUACUGUGCAAACGUUAUUCGGAAUCACUGGGCUUAAUGGGUGCGUAGGCGGCCGUCCAAGUCAGGUGUGAAAGCCCUCGGCUCAACCGAGGAAUGGCGCUUGAAACUGUUCGGCUUGAGUGAGAUAGGGGUGUGCGGAACUUCCGGUGGAGCGGUGAGAUGUGUUGAGAUCGGAAGGAACGCCGGUGGCGAAAGCGGCACACUGGGUCUUAACUGACGCUGAGGCACGAAAGCCAGGGGAGCGAACGGG
rnacentral:misc_RNA from 1 species